rnacentral:lncRNA from 1 species
CUGGAUCCAAAGCUGGAAGAAUAUUGCCCUUGCUUUGUCUUGCAACCAUGUGGGGGUUAGAUAAUGGAGCCAAUACCAAACAGGACUUUAGGCUCCAUGAGGGAGACUUGGUGUCUACUUUUAUUUUCAAAGGUAUGUACCCUAGCACCAAGCUCAACAUCUAGUACAGAAAGAAUAUUAGUUAACUGAAGAAAAUAGUGU